GCUAUCGUAGCUCAGUCGGUAGAGCACUACAUUGGUAAUGUAGAGGUCGCGGGUUCAAUUCCCGCCGUUAGCUCCA
rnacentral:tRNA from 3 species